GAAACCGGAGCAUCCUGGAGAAAAACCCAAAGGCAUGAGGAGAACAAAACUCAAUACAAGAAGGUAUCAGCUGGUCGGCAGGUUCUUCCAGUGAGGUAUGGCUGAAGCUUUGGAUUCUCCUCAUACCUCGCACUUGGACUCUUCUUGUGAGAUCUCGAUUUUUAGUUGGAGCUGCAGAGAGCUGAACUCAUUCAGCUUCCUCAAAUAGAAGCUCUCCAUCUGUUGGCAAUUCUGACGUAGGGCAUCCUGUUCGGCCCUCAGCCCGCUGUCAGACAGUAAGAACAUCAGAUGUGGACUUGUCAGUGAGCUGCUGGUGUGCUGCUUUGUACUUCUCCAGGUAUUCCAGCAGUGCGUUGACUUUGCUCCUCUCCUGAAGAAUUGCUGCUUAUUUAUGCAAAUCACAGAGUUGUGAUAAAACCAUAAUAAACAUUUGUUUGUGUUUUGGUUGUAUCUUACAGUGAAAGCCUGCAUUCAGCUCAUCUGCAGGGAGGAAGCUGAGAGCCUGUCAGAGCUGCAGGUCAGCAGCUUCACUGGUUACCGGUCAAGACCCGCAUUGAUUUCAAGAUCCUGCACCUCAUCUUUGAGGCCAUCCAUAACCUCGCUCCAUCAUACCUCUACGAACUUCUCCACAUCAACACACCCAGCCGCACUCUCAGGUCUUCUUCCAUUCACCUCACUACACCUCCCGUCCGCUUAACCACCAUGGGGUCCAGAGCCUUCAGCCGGUCUGCCCCCAGCCUCUGGAACAUCAACUCUCUUUCCAUUUUUAAAUCAUAUCUCAAGACCUAUUUUUAGACUGUCAUAUUCACUCUGAUUACACCUCUUCACUGCACUGUAUCUAAUCCUGUUAAUUUUAUUUUUUUUUAUUAAUUGCACUGGAUCAUGCCUUGUUGAUUUUAUCAGCUUAAUUUUGAUAUUGUUUUUUUGGACUCUGCCCUGUAUG